GAUACCGACGACAGGACCACGGCUCUUGGGAAAGUUCUGAACACCAGAAACUAAUGCAGCGGUGUUGAAGUAGGUCUCCCCGUUGUUCCCAACAAAAAUGAGGAUACACAUCUGAAAGAUGACAAAGAGAUUCAGAUUAAGUUGAUGAAUUGCUUGUAAAAGGAACGUCGAGCAAAGACCAAAAAGGAUCCCAGGAGAUAUUCCAAUUGCACUUUCACAAUCUUGACCAGAAAGAUUAAUAGUCAACUGGUUUUCUUAUAGAAACAGUGAAGGAAUUCAAUUUCCAAGCUACAGAAGGAUCACUCUCUCUCACACAGAUUUGACAGCCAUUUCAUAGGAACCACCAAACAACAACCUUAAAAACGCAAACUUUGGGAGAUUCGAUUCUCCAAACAGACAUCAUUAAAAGAAGGAAGAGAAAAAAGCAAACUUUAGUCCAAAAUAGAAACAGAAAGCUGGAGAAAAAGAAAGGAAACAACUCACAGCCCAUAAAGGAAGAAUGGGAGC